UUAAACAAGCAUUUGUUCUGAGUGUGGGUGUUUAAUUGUUUUCUUUUUGAGGUAUCUACAAUGUGUCGUCUUCUGUUGACGCAAGCAAACCAAAAUUGAAGCAUUGACAAUUUGGAUAUGGCCAAUUUUCAACACGUUUUUACUAGCACUGAAUAUCGAAACUAGAUGAAAUGCCAUUUUGCACAAAGCCUUGCUAAGGAUGUUCUAACUUGUGUCGUUGAGGCAGAGAUUGAAUCGUUUCGUAUUCAGAUACUACAACAUGCUCAAGGCACUACGCUUCAGCCACAAGGCACAGUAUGUAACAAAUGCAUGACUCCUAAUGUUAUAAAAUGCCCUACAAAGACAGUGUGCAAAACAAAACACAGAGGCUGUAAAUUUUACAACAGUGUCGCUCUCAGUAACAGAAGAUGUCCAACGAACGGCAUGUGUGAUCGUUUAUGCAAAUCUAUCAUCGACAAUCAUCGUUUUAAAGGAUUUUCCUGGAAAAAUACGGACGCAACCCAAUGGUGCACAAUCGCGUGGUCGAUCGCUAAAUGUUACAUGCCCCCAGAUGGUUAUGAGAAUGUGAACACGGCUCGCGACGCCGAUUUUAACGGCAUUGUGAAUAACAUAAUCAAAUGUAUCGACUAUCGAAUUCCAGAAGCACUUCAAAGACGACCUAAGCAAAUCUACCAAUAUAUGUACAAAGUUUAUUUACAGGUCUUUUCCGCGUCUUCACGACUACAUUAUGUAUCGACCUGCCAUGACGAUGGCUGAUGACGAGAUGGGCCAUUUUAUAGACACCCUUGUGGGCAUCCUAAAUGAUUUAGUUUGAAAAGAGAUGCAUUAGGGGUUGCUGCAACUGACAUGAACAGAACGUUAGAAGAUGCGCUAUUAAACCUAACCACUAUGAUCAAGAGCUGCAGCAAUAUAAAGCUCGAGGACCGCGACUCUUUAAAAUUACAACAUAUGCUCAAUGUGGCAGAUACGCUGCAACAUCUCACUGGUGAUGUUCGAACCCGCAUAGAGCAUGCUCUUUCUGGGGAAAAGAAUGAAAUGGCGUCGUCGAACAAAACGAUUGGCGCCGUUGCGGCUGGUGUCGCGGCUAUAGAAGGGGUUGCAGGCAUAACAGCGGCAUCAUUUAGUGUCGGCGGAGCUGGACAUGCGUCAGUAGGAGCCGGUAUAGCAGCAGCUACGUUUGUUUCGGCUGCUGGAACCCCGCUGGCCUUUAGUUUGGCAGUAUUAGGCGCGGUUGCUGCGCCUGUUGUGCCAAUCACGUUAGCAUCACUAUAUGUCUGGCGUCGAUUCCGUAGACCAAUUCAAAACGAAAGGAUAACGAAAGAGCCCUCAACAACAGAAGUUGAAGAUUUGCAAGAAGCGCUAUUACAUAACGGAAAAAGUUAAACAACUGGUUGAACAGAGUCAUUUAAAGUCCUCAAAAGAUAAUUAAAUUUAAGCUUACACAGAACAUUAUCUUAUGACGGAAAAUAACUCUCAGUACAGAAAAGAAAACACGGUUAUUCGUUUUUAAACAAAAUCAGUUAAUGGCUUUAUGUUCGACGCUCUUGGAAAGAAUCAAAUGUAUAUUAUACCGUACUCUUGGUACAAAACGUAGUGUACUUCUAAUUUAAUAUAGAUAUUAUUAUUAGUGAUGGUGCUCCUUUUGUUUAUUAUAUUUAAGCAACAGAGACAUGUCAUUUGGUUUUUGUGAAACGGAUUGUGCAUGAAGUCCCUGUUUUAAUAUACAAAUGCCAAUACAGAAACUUGUUAAGUCUUCCGCAUGAACAUGAGAAUGGCACAAACGCCUAUAUGGUCUUCGACGGUGAAACAUUGGUUGGGACUUAUUAUGAAAAUAAAUACAUAAUAACCAAA